UUGCAGUUUCAAGUGUAGACUUCUGCCUACUAAGUAGCAGUACUCUGCUUUUGUAAAGUAUGAAGAAAGCCCAUCUCUAGUGAAGGAAAGAUGGCUGACAAGAGAAAACUACAGGGUGAGAUUGAUCGGUGUCUGAAAAAGGUUUCAGAAGGUGUUGAGCAGUUUGAAGACAUCUGGCAAAAGGUA